AGUGAACGCUGGCGGUAGGCCUAACGCAUGCAAGUCGAACGGCAGCACAGUAAGAGCUUGCUCUUACGGGUGGCGAGUGGCGGACGGGUGAGGAAUACAUCGGAAUCUACUUUUUCGUGGGGGAUAACGUAGGGAAACUUACGCUAAUACCGCAUACGACCUACGGGUGAAAGCAGGGGAUCUUCGGACCUUGCGCGAUUGAAUGAGCCGAUGCCGGAUUAGCUAGUUGGCGGGGUAAAGGCCCACCAAGGCGACGAUCCGUAGCUGGUCUGAGAGGAUGAUCAGCCACACUGGAACUGAGACACGGUCCAGACUCCUACGGGAGGCAGCAGUGGGGAAUAUUGGACAAUGGGCGCAAGCCUGAUCCAGCCAUACCGCGUGGGUGAAGAAGGCCUUCGGGUUGUAAAGCCCUUUUGUUGGGAAAGAAAAGCAGCAGGUUAAUACCCCGCUGUUCUGACGGUACCCAAAGAAUAAGCACCGGCUAACUUCGUG
rnacentral:rRNA from 1 species